UUAAACACUGAGGCGUGACGACGAGCCACUACGGUGGUGAAGUGAUUGAUGCCCUGCUUCCUGGAAAAGCCUCUAAGCAUCAGGUUAUCAUUGAUCGUACCCCAAACCGACACAGGUGGUCAGGUAGAGAAUACUCAGGCGCUUGAGAGAACUCGGGUGAAGGAACUAGGCAAAAUGGUGCCGUAACUUCGGGAGAAGGCACGCUGGCAUUAGGUGAAGUCCCUCGCGGACGGAGCUGAAGCCAGCCGCAGAUACCAGCUGGCUGCAACUGUUUAUUAAAAACACAGCACUGUGCAAACACGAAAGUGGACGUAUACGGUGUGACGCCUGCCCGGUGCCGGAAGGUUAAUUGAUGGGGUUAGCGCAAGCGAAGCUCCUGAUCGAAGCCCCGGUAAACGGCGGCCGUAACUAUAACGGUCCUAAGGUAGCGAAAUUCCUUGUCGGGUAAGUUCCGACCUGCACGAAUGGCGUAAUGAUGGCCAGGCUGUCUCCACCCGAGACUCAGUGAAAUUGAACUCGCUGUGAAGAUGCAGUGUACCCGCGGCAAGACGGAAAGACCCCGUGAACCUUUACUAUAGCUUGACACUGAACAUUGAAUCUUGAUGUGUAGGAUAGGUGGGAGGCAACGAAAUGUGGACGCCAGUCUGCAUGGAGCCAACCUUGAAAUACCACCCUUUAACAUUUGAUGUUCUAACCCGGGUCCAUAAUCUGGAUCGGGGACCGUGUCUGGUGGGUAGUUUGACUGGGGCGGUCUCCUCCCAAAGAGUAACGGAGGAGCACGAAGGUUGGCUAAGCAUGGUCGGACAUCAUGCGGUUAGUGCAAAGGCAUAAGCCAGCUUGACUGCGAGAGUGACAGCUCGAGCAGGUACGAAAGUAGGUCUUAGUGAUCCGGUGGUUCUGAAUGGAAGGGCCAUCGCUCAACGGAUAAAAGGUACUCCGGGGAUAACAGGCUGAUACCGCCCAAGAGUUCAUAUCGACGGCGGUGUUUGGCACCUCGAUGUCGGCUCAUCACAUCCUGGGGCUGAAGUAGGUCCCAAGGGUAUGGCUGUUCGCCAUUUAAAGUGGUACGCGAGCUGGGUUUAGAACGUCGUGAGACAGUUCGGUCCCUAUCUGCCGUGGGCGUUGGAAGAUUGAGAGGGGCUGCUCCUAGUACGAGAGGACCGGAGUGGACGCACCACUGGUGUACGGGUUGUGAUGCCAAUUGCAUUGCCCGGUAGCUAAGUGCGGAAAAGAUAACCGCUGAAAGCAUCUAAGCGGGAAACUUGCCUCGAGAUGAGUCUUCCCUGACCCUUUAAGGGUCCUGAAGGAACGUUUGAGACUAAGACGUUGAUAGGCUGGGUGUGUAAGUACAGCGAUGUAUUGAGCUAACCAGUACUAAUGAACCGAGAGGCUUAACCUGACAACACCGAAGGUGUUU
rnacentral:rRNA from 1 species